rnacentral:rRNA from 1 species
CGCGGCCUAUCAGCUUGUUGGUGAGGUAACGGCUCACCAAGACGACGACGGGUAGCCGGCCCGAGAGGGUGACCGGCCACACUGGGACUGAGACACGGCCCAGACUCCUACGGGAGGCAGCAGUGGGGAAUAUUGCACAAUGGGCGCAAGCCUGAUGCAGCAACGCCGCGUGAGGGACGACGGCCCUCGGGUUGUAAACCUCUUUUAGCAGGGAAGAAGCGAAAGUGACGGUACCUGCAGAAAAAGCACCGGCUAACUACGUGCCAGCAGCCGCGGUAAUACGUAGGGUGCAAGCGUUGUCCGGAAUUAUUGGGCGUAAAGAGCUCGUAGGCGGUUUGUCGCGUCUGCUGUGAAAACCCGAGGCUCAACCUCGGGCCUGCAGUGGGUACGGGCAGACUAGAGUGCGGUAGGGGAGAUUGGAAUUCCUGGUGUAGCGGUGGAAUGCGCGGAUAUCAGGAGGAACACCGAUGGCGAAGGCAGAUCUCUGGGCCGUAACUGACGCUGAGGAGCGAAAGCGUGGGGAGCGAACAGGAUUAGAUACCCUGGUAGUCCACGCCGUAAACGUUGGGAACUAGAUGUAGGGACCAUUCCACGGUUUCUGUGUCGCAGCUAACGCAUUAAGUUCCCCGCCUGGGGAGUACGG